AGAGUUUGAUCCUGGCUCAGGAUGAACUGCUGGCGGCGUGCCUAACACAUGCAAGUCGAACGAAGCACUUUAUUUGAUUUUCUUCGGAGAUGAAGAUUUGGUGACUGAGUGGCGGACGGGUGAGUAACGCGUGGGUAACCUGCCUCAUACAGGGGGAUAACAGUUGGAAACGACUGCUAAUACCGCAUAAGCGCACAGUACCGCAUGGUACGGUGUGAAAAACUCCGGUGGUAUGAGAUGGACCCGCGUCUGAUUAGCCAGUUGGCGGGGUAACGGCCCACCAAAGCGACGAUCAGUAGCCGACCUGAGAGGGUGACCGGCCACAUUGGGACUGAGACACGGCCCAAACUCCUACGGGAGGCAGCAGUGGGGAAUAUUGCACAAUGGGGGAAACCCUGAUGCAGCGACGCCGCGUGAGCGAAGAAGUAUUUCGGUAUGUAAAGCUCUAUCAGCAGGGAAGAAAAAAAUGACGGUACCUGACUAAGAAGCACCGGCUAAAUACGUGCCAGCAGCCGCGGUAAUACGUAUGGUGCAAGCGUUAUCCGGAUUUACUGGGUGUAAAGGGAGCGCAGGCGGUACGGCAAGUCUGAUGUGAAAGCCCGGGGCUCAACCCCGGUACUGCAUUGGAAACUGUCGGACUAGAGUGUCGGAGGGGUAAGUGGAAUUCCUAGUGUAGCGGUGAAAUGCGUAGAUAUUAGGAGGAACACCAGUGGCGAAGGCGGCUUACUGGACGAUUACUGACGCUGAGGCUCGAAAGCGUGGGGAGCAAACAGGAUUAGAUACCCUAGUAGUCCACGCCGUAAACGAUGAGGACCAAGUGUUGGGGGUGAAACCUCAGUGCUGAAGUUAACGCAGUGAGUCCUCCGCCUGGGGAGUAUGCACGCAAGUGUGAAACUCAAAGGAAUUGACGGGGGCCCGCACAAGCGGUGGAGUAUGUGGUUUAAUUCGAAGCAACGCGAAGAACCUUACCAGGCCUUGACAUGGGAUGCGAAGAUGCAGAGAUGCAUCGGAGGUCAACAUCCACACAGGUGGUGCAUGGUUGUCGUCAGCUCGUGUCGUGAGAUGUUGGGUCAAGUCCCGCAACGAGCGCAACCCUUGUGGCAUGUUGCUAACAGGAAAAGCUGAGGACUCAUGCCAGACUGCCGGUGACAAACCGGAGGAAGGCGGGGAUGACGUCAAAUCAUCAUGCCCCUUAUGGCCUGGGCUACACACGUACUACAAUGGCGGCUACAAAGAGCAGCGAGACAGGGAUGUCGAGCGAAUCUCAUAAAAGCCGUCCCAGUUCGGAUUGGAGGCUGCAACCCGCCUCCAUGAAGUUGGAAUCGCUAGUAAUCGCGGAUCAGCAUGCCGCGGUGAAUACGUUCCCGGGCCUUGCACUAAGCGCCCGUCA
rnacentral:rRNA from 1 species